rnacentral:rRNA from 1 species
AACGAACGCUGGCGGCGUGCCUAACACAUGCAAGUCGAACGGAUUGAAGGGGCUUGCUCCUUCAGUUAGUGGCGCACGGGUGAGUAACGCGUAGAUAAUCUGCCUGAUGAUCUGGGAUAACAGUUCGAAAGGACUGCUAAUACCGGAUAAGCCCACGUGGUCUUUGGACCGUGCGGGAAAAGGGGGGGACCUUCGGGCCUUCUGUCAUCAGAUGAGUCUGCGUACCAUUAGCUAGUUGGUAGGGUAGUGGCCUACCAAGGCUACGAUGGUUAGCUGGUUUGAGAGAAUGAUCAGCCACACUGGAACUGAGACACGGUCCAGACUCCUACGGGAGGCAGCAGUGGGGAAUUUUGCGCAAUGGGCGAAAGCCUGACGCAGCAACGCCGCGUGAGUGAUGAAGGCUUUCGGGUCGUAAAGCUCUGUCGAGGGGAAAGAAGUGUAUUGUGGUUAAUACCCGCGAUACUUGACGGUACCCCUAAAGGAAGCACCGGCUAACUCCGUGCCAGCCGCCGCAGUAAGAC